GAUGAACGCUGGCGGCGUGCCUAAUACAUGCAAGUCGAGCGAAUGGAUUAAGAGCUUGCUCUUAUGAAGUUAGCGGCGGACGGGUGAGUAACACGUGGGUAACCUGCCCAUAAGACUGGGAUAACUCCGGGAAACCGGGGCUAAUACCGGAUAACAUUUUGAACAGCAUGGUUCGAAAUUGAAAGGCGGCUUCGGCUGUCACUUAUUGACGGACCCGCGUCGCAUUAGCUAGUUGGUGAGGUAACGGCUCACCAAGGCAACGAUGCGUAGCCGACCUGAGAGGGUGAUCGGCCACACUGGGACUGAGACACGGCCCAGACUCCUACGGGAGGCAGCAGUAGGGAAUCUUCCGCAAUGGACGAAAGUCUGACGGAGCAACGCCGCGUGAGUGAUGAAGGCUUUCGGGUCGUAAAACUCUGUUGUUAGGGAAGAACAAGUGCUAGUUGAAUAAGCUGGCACCUUGACGGUACCUAACCAGAAAGCCACGGCUAACUACGUGCCAGCCGCCGCCGUAA
rnacentral:rRNA from 1 species